UACGUAGGUGGCAAGCGUUGUCCGGAUUUACUGGGCGUAAAGAGCGCGCAGGCGGUCGGAUCAGUCGGAUGUGAAAGCCCCCGGCUCAACUGGGGAGGGUCAUUCGAUACUGUCCGACUCGAAGGCAGGAGAGGGAAGCGGAAUUCCCGGUGUAGUGGUGAAAUGCGUAGAUAUCGGGAGGAACAUCAGUGGCGAAGGCGGCUUUCUGGCCUGUUCUUGACGCUGAGGCGCGAAAGCUAGGGGAGCGAACGGG
rnacentral:rRNA from 1 species